rnacentral:ncRNA from 1 species
CAAGCACUUCGCUCUAAUGCUAAGUUAGUUCUAGCUAUUAAACUUCAUAUGGUAACUUUCGUUUAUUGUGAAUAACUCACGGUUUAAGUAUAACCAUUAAAUAUGAUUACUAUCAACCUAAAGAAAUAGGACUUACAUUCACCCUAAAGGCCAUGCCCACAACACCAAUGACUUAUAUUAUCCAAGUUAGGAAACUAAGCUAUAGAAAUAGCCAACAAAAGUGAUUAAAAGUGGUGCCAGCAGUCGCGGUUAGACCCCUACUUUAAAUUAACUGCUACAAAUAUACAAGAGUCAAACUAAUCCCGUUAAGAUCAUAAUCACAAAGAUAUAGGUAAAAUUUCUACCUUAAGUUUACACCCAAACAGACCUAAUAAACAUGUCUCAACAAACCACACUCACGAAACAGGGAUUAGAUACCCCAUUAUCGAGUGGCCCAACCGACAAAACACUAAAAAUGAAAAUUUAAAAAUUAAAGAGCGUGGCGGUGUUUCACACCCUAUUAGGGGAUCCUGUGGCUUAAUUCGAUAACCCACGAAUAUCAAAGCUUUAUUAGUUACACAGCUUGUGUAUGGCCGUUAAUGUCUCCGCACGUAAAGCAUUAAAAGAAGACAUUAGAGUCCUACUCGAACUCAAUAAAACAGGUGACACACAGCCUAUAUAAAGCGGCUCAUGGGAUACAGAAAAUUACUAUUUCUCCCAAGUAGAUUGACAUCUCUACAAUAAGGAAGGACUUAAAAGUAAGACCACAACACUAUUAUGGCCUGAACAAGAUAUGAAACGCGUACAAAUCGCCCGUCACUCCUAUUACUAACCCAGGAUAAGUCGUAACACAGUAGGGGUAACGGAAGUUGCCCCUAAACCUUC